ACUCCUACGGAAGGCAGCAGUGGGGAAUAUUGCACAAUGGGCGCAAGCCUGAUGCAGCCAUGCCGCGUGUAUGAAGAAGGCCUUCGGGUUGUAAAGUACUUUCAGCGGGGAGGAAGGGAGUAAAGUUAAUACCUUUGCUCAUUGACGUUACCCGCAGAAGAAGCACCGGCUAACUCCGUGCCAGCAGCCGCGGUAAUACA
rnacentral:rRNA from 1 species